UACGGAGGGUGCAAGCGUUAAUCGGAAUUACUGGGCGUAAAGCGUGCGCAGGCGGUUUUGUAAGUCUGACGUGAAAGCCCCGGGCUUAACCUGGGAAUUGCGUUGGAGACUGCAAGGCUUGAAUCUGGCAGAGGGGGGUAGAAUUCCACGUGUAGCAGUGAAAUGCGUAGAGAUGUGGAGGAACACCGAUGGCGAAGGCAGCCCCCUGGGUCAAGAUUGACGCUCAUGCACGAAAGCGUGGGGAGCAAACAGG
rnacentral:rRNA from 1 species